rnacentral:piRNA from 1 species
UNCUGAUUGCACACUAAGGAUGCCACCAGU